GAGGGAUGGGGUGUGCAGGCCGGAGAGAGCCGGCCCAGGGUGGGGUGGGUCAGGUGAGGGUGGGCGGGGCUAGAGUGGGAUAAUGACAGCUGACCUGCCUGCUUGGGGGUGUCCCCUGUGUUCUCGGACAGGACAGGAGCUGCAGAGUCUGAGUCACCCCCUGGAAGCUAACACUGUUUUAGCAUUCAGGACUGAGUCCUGAAACAACGAAUGGGAAGC
rnacentral:lncRNA from 1 species